CUGGUCCAACCUCCUUAGCUCAACUCCGGAUCUGCGGUGGGUACGGGCAGACUAGAGUGAUGUAGGGGAGACUGGAAUUCCUGGUGUAGCGGUGAAAUGCGCAGAUAUCAGGAGGAACACCGAUGGCGAAGGCAGGUCUCUGGGCAUUAACUGACGCUGAGGAGCGAAAGCAUGGGGAGCGAACAGGAUUAGAUACCCUGGUAGUCCAUGCCGUACACGUUGGGCACUAGGUGUGGGGGACAUUCCACGUUUUCCGCGCCGUAGCUAACGCAUUAAGUGCCCCGCCUGGAGAGUACGGCCGCAAGGCUAACACUCAAAGGAAUUGACGGGGGCCCGCACAAGCGGCGGAGCAUGCGGAUUAAUUCGAUGCAACGCGAAUAACCUUACCAAGGCUUGACAUGAACCGGUAAGACCUGGAAACAGGUCCCCCGCUUGCGGUCGGUUUACAGGUGGUGCAUGGUUGUCGUCAGCUCGUGUCGUGAGAUGUUGGGUUAAGUCCCGCAACGAGCGCAACCCUCGUUCUAUGUGCCACACGUGAUGGUGGGGACUCAUAA
rnacentral:rRNA from 1 species